rnacentral:lncRNA from 1 species
GUGGCUGGGGCCGGCGCCUGUGUCGCCGCCCUCAUUGCUAAGUAGUCCUGGCCACUGGCGGGCUUCGUCGUCGGGGGUCGGCCGGAGGUCACCCAACAACAUGGCCAUGGCGGCGGCCCGGCCGGGCGUGUCAUCCGGGUCGCCGGGUGCGGCGAGCGAGCGCUGUAAUGGCUCUUCUGCCACCCACGCCGGCUCUUCAUCGAAGGGCUCUUCCUUGACG